rnacentral:rRNA from 1 species
CCUACGGGUGGCAGCAGUGAGGAAUAUUGGUCAAUGGCCGUAAGCCUGAACCAGCCAAGUCGCGUGAAGGAAGAAGGAUCUAUGGUUUGUAAACUUCUUUUAUAGGGGAAUAAAGGUAUCCACGUAUGGAUAUUUGCAUGUACCGUAUGAAUAAGGAUCGGCUAACUCCGUGCCAGCAGCCGCGGUAAUACGGAGGAUCCGAGCGUUAUCCGGAUUUAUUGGGUUUAAAGGGAGCGUAGGUGGAUUGUUAAGUCAGUUGUGAAAGUUUGCGGCUCAACCGUAAAAUUGCAGUUGAAACUGGCAGUCUUGAGUACAGUAGAGGUGGGCGGAAUUCGUGGUGUAGCGGUGAAAUGCUUAGAUAUCACGAAGAACUCCGAUUGCGAAGGCAGUUCACUGGACUGUAACUGACACUGAGGCUCGAAAGUGUGGGUAUCAAACAGGAUUAGAUACCCGUGUAGUC